CCUCGGCGGACAGGCCGAGCUGGGGCAGGUCAGCAUUCCAAUGUACACCAUCUUCCCCAAGCUGUAGAAGAGGUAAGGAAUAGAGCUACCGGUAAUUCUGAAAUUGUGUCCAACACCAUUUCAGCUUUGUUUAGGCCUUGGAGUUAGUGAACUGGAGUUCUGUUGCAAUUUACCUCUAGUCCAUCGUCGGGGCGCCGAUGCAAAAUGGAGGGGUAGAUUGUGGCAGGAGGGGUUAUUGUUGCUUACGUCACAAUGUUUUAGCUUAUUGGCAGUGUCACUGGGCUAUAAAAACGGGAACAUGCGCGUUAUCUGGGAUGCGUCAUUUGGGGAACUGUUGCGUCGUUAACGCGCUUCCGUCACUUCCCGGAACUGGAUGUGAGUGCUCGACACGAGACUGCAACUUGGUUGGAGAGCAGUUCUACCUGGACUCGGCGAGUUUUGCUGCAAUGUCGUUUAUUAUUGUUUACAUGUAGUGGGUGUAGACAUCGAAGAAGCUGUGAGAACCAGAUGCACUUGCUGGGUCGCUGUUUUCUGUACCGGCGUUUGCUUGAAAAGACUCUAUUUGUUGGCUCUUUAUAGAAACGUUAAUCCCUGCAAUUGGGCCUGAGCACCAGGGGCAGAGGACUGGUUUUAGGUGGUGGUAUAUCCCUCACAAGUGUGCAGUGACCACCUCACCGUGUGUGUGUGUGUGUGUGUGUGUGUGUGCGUGUGCGCGUGUGGACACAGUAAAGUGCAGUGAUUCACCUACAGGUGGUGUGGUCUGAUUAUCCGUUUUUUACUGGUAAGCUCUAGCCCCUGCCCUCGACUUGUUCUAAGAAUCUUAAGUGGCCUGUGUGGCUGGGACAAAUGUCUAAUUGUUUGUUUUUAAUAUUGUUUUUAAUGAUGUCAAUAAAAUAAUUUUGUACUGUUA